CCUACGGGAGGCAGCAGUGAGGAAUAUUGGUCAAUGGACGAGAGUCUGAACCAGCCAAGUAGCGUGAAGGAUGACUGCCCUACGGGUUGUAAACUUCUUUUAUAUGGGAAUAAAAUGUUCCACGUGUGGGAGUUUGUAUGUACCAUAUGAAUAAGGAUCGGCUAACUCCGUGCCAGCAGCCGCGGUAAUACGGAGGAUCCGAGCGUUAUCCGGAUUUAUUGGGUUUAAAGGGAGCGUAGGUGGAUUGUUAAGUCAGUUGUGAAAGUUUGCGGCUCAACCGUAACAUUGCAGUUGAAACUGGCAGUCUUGAGUACAGUAGAGGUGGGCGGAAUUCGUGGUGUAGCGGUGAAAUGCUUAGAUAUCACGAAGAACUCCGAUUGCGAAGGCAGCUCACUGGACUGCAACUGACACUGAGGCUCGAAAGUGUGGGUAUCAAACAGGAUUAGAUACCCUUGUAGUC
rnacentral:rRNA from 1 species